rnacentral:rRNA from 1 species
CCUACGGGGCGCAGCAGUGAGGAAUAUUGGUCAAUGGACGCAAGUCUGAACCAGCCAUGCCGCGUGCAGGAAGACGGCUCUAUGAGUUGUAAACUGCUUUUGUACGAGGGUAAACUCAGAUACGCGUAUCUGUCUGAAAGUAUCGUACGAAUAAGGAUCGGCUAACUCCGUGCCAGCAGCCGCGGUAAUACGGAGGAUUCAAGCGUUAUCCGGAUUUAUUGGGUUUAAAGGGUGCGUAGGCGGUCGGAUAAGUUAGCGGUGAAAUCCCGAGGCUCAACUUGGGAAUUGCCUCUGAUACUGUUAGGCUAGAGAGUAGUUGCGGUAGGCGGAAUGUAUGGUGUAGCGGUGAAAUGCUUAGAGAUCAUACAGAACACCGAUUGCGAAGGCAGCAGACCAAGCUACUUCUGACGUUGAGGCACGAAAGCGUGGGGAGCAAACAGGAUUAGAUACCCCGGUAGUC